rnacentral:lncRNA from 1 species
CAGAAUAAAGGUCCUCUGGCUUGAUCAAAAUUGACUCUUUGUCUGAAAGGAGAAGAAGGAUUAGGCACUGUGGCCUUAUUGAAUCCAACUGAAUGUCUAAUAGUGUGGACAUUGAAAGACAUAGAGUCUGGAUUAAACUGAGAAUGGGACUGGACUUGUCUCUUCUUCUCAUCAUUGAGGACCAUAUUAUAGACAUUGUCAAGGGUUGGAGGUGGCUGCAUCAUCAAUAGGUUACUCCUUACCCCCCAUGUAUGCUUCAUUAAGGCCCAUUAGAAACUGAAACACCUUAUUUUCAUCAUUUUCCUGUAUUAUACCAUCUUUGGCAGCACAAACACAUCUCUGCCCAUGAUUUGUACACAAUGAUUCUAAUUCAUCCCAUAGACCUUUAAGUUUAUUGAAAUAUGAAGCUACAUCUAGGGACCCUUGAGAGGUGUGAGAAAGCUCUCUAUUUAAUUCAAAAACUGCCCGAGAAGGGAGUGGGCACAAGAGAGACCCCAGGAACAUCAGAGGAGUAAACAAAGAGGGGGCUGGUAGAGUCCACCGAGGAGGUACUAGCAUUCGUAUUAGAAGUCAUGAUUAAUGAACCAGUUUGAAAAGAAAAUAGUCUCUGUAAGCAAAAUAUAACGAAACCAGAGUUCACAUACAAAGCAUACAAUACUCAAAAUAAGGACAGAGUUACCCUCCUUCUUCGCGACCGGAGAAGAUCGGCCUUCAAUCAACAGAUAAAACCCUAGGUUUGACCAGAUGCUCACAAUUACAGAGUCAAGUAAUCACAUAUAAAAUCGAGGAUAGGGACAGAGUUACCCUCCUUCUUCGCGACCGAAGAAGAUCGGCCUUCAAACAACAGAUAAAACCCUAGGUCCAACACCGGAAACCGUAGGUUCUCAAACUCACCAGAAUAAGGUCACAGACGUGGGAAAGUUACCCAAAACGUCUAUCAAGCGAAGACAAAUUCAUCGGAUAACAUCAAAGCUCUAGGUCCGAAAAUCGAAAAACCCUAGAAUUUGAAGAACUCGUCGGAAUAAAGCCAGGGAUGCCGGAAAAAUACCCAAUACACCCAUUGAUACAAGAUCGGAACCUCGAAUAACAGAAAAAUUUCGAUUAUCCGCUCAACAUUCGUUGAAACAUCUCCGAACAGUAUCUCUCAUCGGUAACCAUAAAAAAUUGAUACAAGAUCGGAUUCUCGAAUAACAGGAAAAUUCCGAUUAUCCUCUCAACAUUCGUUGAAACAUCUGCGAACAGUAUCUCUCACCGGUAACCAUAAAAGAAACUUCAGCAAAAGCUUCAAACGGGAUCGAUAACACGUAACCGAGAGGGAUCCGAAGAUCAUCUGGCUCUGAUACCAUGAAAACGUGAAGAUCAAGCUGAAGAACAUGAAGCAUCCAGUGAGAUAAAGAAGAGAGAGAAGAGAGUAGUUGAGAGAACUCUCCAGAACCUCGAGAGAGUCU